rnacentral:tRNA from 2 species
GCUGGUGUAGCUCAACUGGUAGAGCAACUGACUUGUAAUCAGUAGGUUAAGGGUUCAAGUCCCCUCACUAGCU